rnacentral:rRNA from 1 species
GACGAACGCUGGCGGCGUGCUUAACACAUGCAAGUCGAACGGAAAGGCCCUGCUUUUGUGGGGUGCUCGAGUGGCGAACGGGUGAGUAACACGUGAGUAACCUGCCCUUGACUUUGGGAUAACUUCAGGAAACUGGGGCUAAUACCGGAUAGGAGCUCCUGCUGCAUGGUGGGGGUUGGAAAGUUUCGGCGGUUGGGGAUGGACUCGCGGCUUAUCAGCUUGUUGGUGGGGUAGUGGCUUACCAAGGCUUUGACGGGUAGCCGGCCUGAGAGGGUGACCGGCCACAUUGGGACUGGGAUACGGCCCAGCCUCCUACGGGAGGCAGCAGUGGGGAAUAUUGCACAAGGGGCGGAAGCCUGAUGCAGCAACGCCGCGUGCGGGAUGGCGGCCUUCGGGUUGUAAACCGCUUUCGCCUGUGACGAAGCGUGAGUGACGGUAAUGGGUAAAGAAGCACCGGCUAACUACGUG